GGCACGGUGGCUUAGUGGUUAGCACUGCUGCCUCGCGCCUCCAGGGUUGGGGGUUCAAAUCCUGCCUCUGCCA